rnacentral:rRNA from 1 species
AUUGCACGCUGGCGGCAGGCCUAACACAUGCAAGUCGAGCGAGCGGCGGACGGGUGCGUAAUGUAUGGGGACUGCCCGUUAGAGGGGGAUAACUACUGGAAACGGUAGCUAAUCCCGCAUACUAUCGGCUACCCCAUAUGGGAUUAGCUAGUAGGUGAGGUAAUGGCUCACCUAGGAGACGAUCCCGAGCUGGUCUGAGAGGAUGAUCAGCCACACUGGGACGGAGACACGGCCCAGACGCCUACGGAGGCAGCAGUGGGGAAUAUUGCACAAUGGGCGAAAGCCUGAAGCAGCCAUGCCGCGUGUAUGAAGAAGGCCCUAGGGUUGUAAAGUACUUUCGUUCGGGAGGCGUUACCGACAGAAGAAGCACCGGCUAACUCCGUGCCAGCAGCCGCGGUAAUAC